GAUUCGUGAAGAAAUCAAAUGGCUCAAUUAUUCUUCUGUACAAUGGUUACAAGUACAGUAAAAAUGGAUUGAUUGGAAAGGGCGGUACUCGCUUUGCAUGCUCGAAGCUAUUUUCAAUGAAAUGCAAAGCAUUUAUUCAUGUGUCUAAAGAUAACAUUUUUAUCAAGGCGAAUACGGAGCAUAAUCAUAUACGACCUAGGUUUAUUGUGAAAAAUAAUACCUUCUUUGACUUGUAAUUCUUAUGGAAGCUUAACGUAAAUAAAGCUCACUUCAUAACUCUCGUGUCAGGGAAGAAAUUACUCAUGUACAAAGGCUAUACUUACUCGCGAAAUGGGAAUAUACGAGGCGGCGGAUCUCGCUAUGCGUGUUCAUUGCUCAGUAAAGGAUGCAAGGCAUAUCUUCAUCUCACUUGGGAUAAUAUACUGUUGUUUGCGAAGGAUGUACAUCCUCACGAGCCUCUCAAAUUUACGUUGACUCAAAGUGGAUAUGUAAGAGCUACAAGUCUAUCCUCUAUACCGAUGAGAUUGAUUAUACCUGCCAGAGGACGCAAUAGAACUAAGAGGUCUCGCCAGCAGAGCCGGUCCGAUUGAGAAGCUACUAACAAACACAAUUGAAUGAUAUCACAGUGAUAUAUUAUUCCCAAAAAAGUUUAGGUUCAGUAACGGCAAAUAUAUGCAGUUGUGAUAAAAA